AGCGAACGCUGGCGGCAGGCUUAACACAUGCAAGUCGAGCGGGCGUAGCAAUACGUCAGCGGCAGACGGGUGAGUAACGCGUGGGAACGUACCUUUUGGUUCGGAACAACACAGGGAAACUUGUGCUAAUACCGGAUAAGCCCUUACGGGGAAAGAUUUAUCGCCGAAAGAUCGGCCCGCGUCUGAUUAGCUAGUUGGUGUGGUAACGGCGCACCAAGGCGACGAUCAGUAGCUGGCUGAGAGGAUGAUCAGCCACAUUGGGACUGAGACACGGCCCAAACUCCUACGGGAGGCAGCAGUGGGGAAUAUUGGACAAUGGGCGCAAGCCUGAUCCAGCCAUGCCGCGUGAGUGAUGAAGGCCCUAGGGCUGUAAAACUCUUUCGACGGGGACGAUAAUGACGGUACCCGUAGAAGAAGCUCCGGCUAACUUCGUGCCAGCAGCCGCAGUAAG
rnacentral:rRNA from 1 species